AUAAACGUUGGCGGCGUGCUUAACACAUGCAAGUCGAGCGAGAAAGGUCUUCGGACUGAGUACAGCGGCAAACGGGUGAGUAACACGUGGGAAUCUACCUUUAAGUGGAGAAUACCCUCGAGAAAUCGAGGUUAAUACUGCAUACGUCUCGAAAGAGAGAAAGAUGGCCUCUUUGCUGUCGCUGAAAGAUGAGCCUGCGCACUAUUAGCUAGUUGGUAGGGUAAAAGCCUACCAAGGCUAUGAUGGUUAGCCGGCCUGAGAGGGUGUACGGCCACACUGGAACUUAGACACGGUCCAGACUCCUACGGGAGGCAGCAGUGAGGAAUAUUGCGCAAUGGGCGAAAGCCUGACGCAGCGACGCCGCGUGGAGGAUGAAGGUCUUAGGAUUGUAAACUUCUGUUAAGCGGGAAGAAAAGCGCUGUUUUAAUAGAACAGUGAAAUGACGGUACCGCUAGAGAAAGCACCGGCUAACUUCGU
rnacentral:rRNA from 1 species